CUCGGCCCCGCCCCGCCUCCCCUUAGGCGGGAAAGUGGGAGGUCUCCCACAAGCCCUUGGGCGUUUCUUCUGAUUUUCCGCUGCGCGAGGGGCAAAGGCGUAGUUUGUUGUGCCCGCCUUCUUCCGCUUGGUGUCCGUUUUAGUGUUCGCUAAGUAAAAAACGAGAGUGAGUGAAAAGAAAACUGGACCAUAGUAAGGAACCAAAGAAGAGCAUUUUUUUUAAUCAUGUUCAUGGCACGUCACAUACAACCGAAUGCUGAUUUACAACCAGCCUGUGGAAUGGAUACCAUUUGUCCCUUUACAAGUGAGGAAGUAGGUGCUGGAGAUUGAACCUAGAACCUUGUGCAUAGUAGAGGCUGAUGCCUGAGAUCAAUGACAGCAUGAUUCAUCCUCGUGAGGCUACCUUCCAGGUUGCAGACCUUCUCAGGACGCUGAUAAAGGCAUCAACCUCACUCCAGAGCCCUCAAGGCCUUCAAUCCUCAUUGUCUCCCAAAGGCCUCCUAAUACAAUAAAAAUAUGAUGAUAAUUUUCAAUAUAUGAAUAUUCCAAAGAUACAAAGAUUCAGAACAUAGUACCCUAACCUAGAAUUACUUUCUUUUUCUUCUAUUGAUUAUUUUCCUUUGAUAUAUUAUUUCUUCUUGUGAGUAAA